UACGUAGGGUGCAAGCGUUAAUCGGAAUUACUGGGCGUAAAGCGUGCGCAGGCGGUUAUGUAAGACAGAUGUGAAAUGCCCGGGCUUAACCUGGGAACUGCAUUUGUGACUGCAUGGCUAGAGUGUGUCAGAGGGGGGGUAGAAUUCCACGUGUAGCAGUGAAAUGCGUAGAGAUCCGGAGGAACACCAGUGGCGAAGGCGGCUGCCUGGGCCUGGCCUGACGCUGAGGCGCGAAAGCGUGGGGGAGCAAUCCGGGAUUAGAAACCCC
rnacentral:rRNA from 1 species